rnacentral:rRNA from 1 species
AUUGAACGCUGGCGGCAGGCUUAACACAUGCAAGUCGAGCGGGGUGAUGGUGCUUGCACUAUCACUUAGCGGCGGACGGGUGAGUAAUGCUUAGGAAUCUGCCUAUUAGUGGGGGACAACAUCUCGAAAGGGAUGCUAAUACCGCAUACGUCCUACGGGAGAAAGCAGGGGAUCACUUGUGACCUUGCGCUAAUAGAUGAGCCUAAGUCGGAUUAGCUAGUUGGUGGGGUAAAGGCCUACCAAGGCGACGCUCUGUAGCGGGUCUGAGAGGAUGAUCAGCCACACGGGGACUGAGACACGGCCCAGACUCCUACGGGAGGCAGCAGUGGGGAAUAUUGGACAAUGGGGGGAACCCUGAUCCAGCCAUGCCGAGUGUGUGAAGAAGGCCUUAUGGUUGUAAAGCACUUUAAGCGAGGAGGAGGCUCUUUUGGUUAAUACCCAAGAUGAGUGGACGUUACUCGCAGAAUAAGCACCGGCUAACUCUGUGCCAGCCGCCGCCGUAA